GACUGGCUGGCUGUGUGCACCACCAGCUGGGCGGCACCGGACGGGUCAGUCUGAUAAGAAUUCUACCAGGCACGGUCUUGAAGCCAUCUCUAGAACACAUAGCUUCGUCGUUUACGGGUUGGGGGAAGGCAAAGAUAGCAUUAAAAAAAAAAAAAAACUGAGUUGGAAAGAGGACCCUAAAACAGCCCUGGCCAUCAAUCCGAAAUCCGAGUGGGUGGGCUGGAAUGAGAGAGGGAGGAGAGUGUGGGAGGCCCGGGGUGUGUGUGGUGGGGGGCAGGUGGGAGGAACCCAAACGAGCAAAGGAGGCGAAACAAAACGCUGGCGAGAAGGGCCUGAAAAUGGAGACGCCGAGGCGUGGGAGAGAUGGCGAGAGGGAUGCAGGUCGGUGGGAAGGAAGGACAACAAAUCUGGAAAAGAGGGGCGAUGCAUGGUCCAGGGGGCGCGGGCAGGGACUAGCACAGGAGAGGGCAGGAUGCUGGCCUGCGGCGCAGGGCGGGGCAGGUGAAGGGCAGGUGCGUGGUGGGCCGGGCCGGGCCUCUCUCACCGCCACUUGGUCCUCCGAUUUUGGAACCAGGUCUUGACCUGCGCGUCCGUCAUUUUGAGGGACUUUGCGAGCGCCGCCCUCUCGGCCGAGGCCAGGUACUUUUGGCGAUGGAAGCGCUUUUCCAGCUCACAGAUCUGCACCCGGGAAAAGGAUGUGCGCGGCUUCUUACGCUUGGGCGGCGUCCGGUUCUGGUAGGGGUGGCCAAUGCGCCGGGUCACGGUGAAGGGCGUGAGCGCGGCCGC
rnacentral:lncRNA from 1 species